UACGGAGGGGACUAGCGUUGUUCGGAAUUAUUGGGCGUAAAGCGCACGUAGGCGGCUUUGCAAGUCGGAUGUGAAAUCCCUCGGCUUAACCAAGGAAGUGCAUCCGAAACUGCAGAGCUUGAGUACUUAAGAGGAUCGCGGAAUUCCCGGUGUAGAGGUGAAAUUCGUAGAUAUCGGGAGGAACACCAGUGGCGAAGGCGGCGAUCUGGGAAGAUACUGACGCUGAGGUGCGAAAGCGUGGGGAGCAAACAGG
rnacentral:rRNA from 1 species